rnacentral:rRNA from 1 species
CUUGAACGCUGGCGGCAGGCCUAACACAUGCAAGUCGAGCGGAGCGGCGGAAGGGUGAGUAAUGCCUAGGAAUCUGCCUGGUAGUGGGGGAUAACGUCCGGAAACGGGCGCUAAUAACGCAUACUAACAGAUGAGCCUCGGUCGGAUUAGCUAGGUGGUGGGGUAAAGGCCUACCAAGGCAACGAUCCGAAACUGGUCUGAGAGGAUGAUCAGUCACACUGGAACGUAGACACGGUCCAGCCUCGUACGGUAGGCAGCAGGGGGGACUAUUGGACAAUGGGCGAAAGCCUGAUCCAGCCAUGCCGCGUGUGUGAAGAAGGUCUUCGGAUUGUAAAGCACUUUAAGUUGGUAGGCGUUACCAACAGAAUAAGCACCGGCUAACUUCGUGCCAGCAGCCGCGGUAAUUC